rnacentral:rRNA from 1 species
CACGUAGGGUGCGAGCGUUGUCCGGAAUUAUUGGGCGUAAAGAGCUCGUAGGCGGUUCGGCAAGUCGGGUGUGAAAUUUCGAGGCUCAACCUCGAAACGCCACUCGAUACUGCUGUGACUGGAGUCCGGUAGAGGAGAGUGGAAUUCCUGGUGUAGCGGUGAAAUGCGCAGAUAUCAGGAGGAACACCGGUGGCGAAGGCGGGUCUCUGGGCCGAUACUGACGCUGAGGAGCGAAAGCGUGGGGAGCGAACAGG